AUUAGUGCAGUGAUGAGGGACAAAAGCUUUCACAGGUGCAGGCUGGAGGAAGACCAACCCGCACAACAGCUCUCGCUACAGCUUUCAAGGAUGUCCUGUUGGGUUUUUUUCAAUACACCUGAUGAGAAAAUGUCUUACUAUCUCCAAGCAGUCCUGGACUCACCUUGAGCGGAUCUGCACAGAGACCACAGUAUGAAGGUAAACCUCAGUAUCAAGUGCAUGACAGAAACCACAGAAGCAGAUUCAGGGCUCCAGAUCCUCUUCACGAAUCCUCCUAAAAUGUGUGUGAAUCAGCAAAUCCUCUCAUCUGCUUCUCUGGAGCGCGACGGAAAUAUGGACGACUUCCUGCCACUGUGUGGAGAAGAAUAGGAGUGAAUAUGUGUGUGUGCGAGUCUGAAAGGUCAGCUUUAUCGCAGGAGUUUGAGCUACCUUUGAGACUGUUUAUUGUGCGGCGCGAAUUGUGUCGAAGGAAAUUUGACAGGACAAUCGAACAAUGCCGCACAAAAAAGCCUUCACUUCCUUGUGUGCAAACUAGACAUAAUAUCUGAUUUUUAUUAUGCGUGCUAAAAUGUGUUUCUUUUCUUAGCAGUUUGUGUUGAAGAUUGACACUCACACUAUUGUUUAAAAUGGUAUUUUUAUUUUUUCACACUUUAGGUUUUAAAUGUAUGUAAAACUAAUCAUAUUGUACAAACAUUCAUAGAUUUUAUUUUAUUUUACCAAAAGCAAACAAAGAAAAAAAGCUGAAUAUCAGAGAGAUUUAAAAUGAUGAUGAUAAUAACAUUAAUAAUAACAAUAAUAAUAACAAUAAUAAUAAUAAUAAUAAUAAUAACAAUAAUAAACUUAAAGGCUACGCAAGUUUCACACCCAGUGGUUGAACUAGGGAUUGCAUUCCUGGAUCAAAACACACGCAAGUGCGGG
ensembl:antisense